rnacentral:rRNA from 1 species
GACGAACGCUGGCGGCGUGCUUAACACAUGCAAGUCGAACGGAAAGGCCCUGCUUUUGUGGGGUGCUCGAGUGGCGAACAGGUGAGUAACACGUGAGUAACCUGCCCUUGACUUUGGGAUAACUUCAGGAAACUGGGGCUAAUACCGGAUAGGAGCUCCUGCUGCAUGGUGGGGGUUGGAAAGUUUCGGCGGUUGGGGAUGGACUCGCGGCUUAUCAGCUUGUUGGUGGGGUAGUGGCUUACCAAGGCUUUGACGGGUAGCCGGCCUGAGAGGGUGACCGGCCACAUUGGGACUGAGAUACGGCCCAGACUCCUACGGGAGGCAGCAGUGGGGAAUAUUGCACAAUGGGCGGAAGCCUGAUGCAGCAACGCCGCGUGCGGGAUGACGGCCUUCGGGUUGUAAACCGCUUUCGCCUGUGACGAAGCGUGAGUGACGGUAAUGGGUAAAGAAGCACCGGCUAACUACGUGCCAGCAGCCGCGGUGAUACGUAGGGUGCGAGCGUUGUCCGGAUUUAUUGGGCGUAGAGGGCUCGUAGGUGGUUGAUCGCGUCGGAAGUGUAAUCUUGGGGCUUAACCCUGAGCGUGCUUUCGAUACGGGUUGACUUGAGGAAGGUAGGGGAGAAUGGAAUUCCUGGUGGAGCGGUGGAAUGCGCAAAUAUCAGGAGGAACACCAGUGGCGAAGGCGGUUCUCUGGGCCUUUCCUGACGCUGAGGAGCGAAAGCGUGGGGAGCGAACAGGCUUAGAUACCCUGGUAGUCCACGCUGUAAACGGUGGGUACUAGGUGUGGGGUCCAUUCCACGGGUUCCGUGCCGUAGCUAACGCUUUAAGUACCCCGCCUGGGGAGUACGGCCGCAAGGCUAAAACUCAAAGGAAUUGACGGGGCCCCGCACAAGCGGCGGAGCAUGCGGAUUAAUUCGAUGCAACGCGUAGAACCUUACCUGGGUUUGACAUGGAUCGGGAGUGCUCAGAGAUGGGUGUGCCUCUUUUGGGGUCGGUUCACAGGUGGUGCAUGCCUGUCGUCAGCUCGUGUCGUGAGAUGUUGGGUUAAGUCCCGCAACGAGCGCAACCCUUGUUCACUGUUGCCAGCACGUUAUGGUGGGGACUCAGUGGAGACCGCCGGGGUCAACUCGGAGGAAGGUGGGGAUGACGUCAAGUCCUCAUGCUCCUUAUGUCCAGGGCUUCACGCAUGCUACAAUGGCUGGUACAGAGAGUGGCGAGCCUGUGAGGGUGAGCGAAUCUCGGAAAGCCGGUCUCAGUUCGGAUUGGGGUCUGCAACUCGACCUCAUGAAGUCGGAGUCGCUAGUAAUCGCAGAUCAGCAACGCUGCGGUGAAUACGUUCCCGGG